rnacentral:rRNA from 1 species
ACGGGAGGCAGCAGUGGGGAAUAUUGGACAAUGGGGGAAACCCUGAUCCAGCGACGCCGCGUGAGUGAAGAAGUAUUUCGGUAUGUAAAGCUCUAUCAGCAAGGAAGAAAAUGACGGUACUUGACUAAGAAGCUCCGGCUAAAUACGUGCCAGCAGCCGCGGUAAUACGUAUGGAGCAAGCGUUAUCCGGAUUUACUGGGUGUAAAGGGAGCGUAGACGGCGAAGCAAGUCUGAAGUGAAAUGCCGGGGCUUAACCCCGGAACUGCUUUGGAAACUGUUUUGCUAGAGUGCAGGAGAGGUAAGCGGAAUUCCUAGUGUAGCGGUGAAAUGCGUAGAUAUUAGGAGGAACACCAGUGGCGAAGGCGGCUUGCUGGACUGUAACUGACACUGAGGCUCGAAAGCGUGGGGAGCAAACAGGAUUAGAUACCCUGGUA